rnacentral:rRNA from 1 species
UACAGAGGUCUCAAGCGUUGUUCGGAUUCAUUGGGCGUAAAGGGUGCGUAGGCGGCGCGGUAAGUCGGGUGUGAAAUCUUGGAGCUUAACUCCGAAACUGCAUUCGAUACUGCCGUGCUUGAGGACUGGAGAGGAGACUGGAAUUUACGGUGUAGCGGUGAAAUGCGUAGAUAUCGUAAGGAAGACCAGUGGCGAAGGCGGGUCACUGGCCCGGUACUGACGCUGAGGUGCGAAAGCGUGGGGAGCAAACAGG